AGAGUGGUCAAGGGUAUGAACAACUAAAGCCGAACGUCCCCCUGGCUGUUAUACGCACUCGGAGGAAUGAAGCCCCACCACGAAAGUGGCUUUACCUAGCCUGAACCCACGACAACUAAGAAACAAACUGGGAUUAGAUACCCCACUAUGCUUAGCCGUAAACCUUGAUACUAAGGUACAACUAGUAUCCGCCAGGGGACUACAAGCGCCAGCUUAAAACCCAAAGGACUUGGCGGUACUUCAGACCCACCUAGAGGAGCCUGUUCUAGAACCGAUAACCCCCGUUUAACCUCACCACCCCUAGUUUUCCCCGCCUAUAUACCGCCGUCGUCAGCUUACCCUGUAAAGGCCCCACAGUAAGCAAAACGGGCAUAGCCCAAAACGUCAGGUCGAGGUGUAGCGUAUGAGGUGGAAAGAAAUGGGCUACAUUUCCUAACUUAGGACACAACAGACGAUGCCGUGAAACCAGCAUCUGAAGGUGGAUUUAGCAGUAAGAAGAAAGCAGAGCGUUUUUCUGAAGCCGGCUCUGAGAUGCGUACACACCGCCCGUCACUCUCCCCAAGUUCACCUCUAUAAGUAAGUAAAAGAACUAUAGAACUAAGGGGAGGCAAGUCGUAA
rnacentral:rRNA from 1 species